rnacentral:lncRNA from 1 species
AAAAGGAAGAAAAAAGAAAACCAUUGCUCUUGAUAUUGCUAAUGCCGGGGGAGGUAAGCUAACGAGAAAGUAGGGAAAAGGAAGGUUUUAGAGUUCACCUCCACUCCUUCCCCUGGCUAACACUCUUUACACUCUUCUGCCUUCCCUUGAGAUAAUUAAAAUAGACUGUACACCGGCCCUAGUCGGUGCCCAUUCCCCCUAACUCUUCACUCAACUACGUGUGUAGUCCGAGGGAGUGAGGACCCCGGGUCCAAGAGCUCAAUCCCGGCCCCGCCCCGUCGGCCCAGGCCCCGGGGCUGGGAGGAGAGGAUGCCUUCGGAGGCGCAGAAUCCGAAAAGAUGUGGUUGGAGCUGGAAGCUGUUAUCCUCAGCAAACUAAUGCAGGAGGAGAAAACCAAAUACUGCAAGUUCUCACUUAUAAGUGGGAACUGAAUGAUGAGAACAUUUGGACAUGCUAGGACUUCCAGUACUACGUAUAAGAACAGCAUUGACAAUGGGCCUCCUUGUUGUGUUACGGAUCUUCAAGAAAAGUUCCUCUGUCAGACCUUCUGUUGUCCUAUGAAAGUUCCAAUAAGCUGGGCAGAGAAAUCGAGCUGCAAAAUGACCUACAGAUAUUACAGUUUUAUUCUUGGAAAAUGGAGGUUGUCUAUUAGUGUGAUGGUAACAACCAACUAAUAAAAUUUGGAGAC